rnacentral:sRNA from 1 species
CACUUCAUGUCAGCAAAGACUCCAUGCAUCCAGCAGCACCACAUCCUUGAAGGAAGAGUCCACGGCCACACACAACAAAAGAAAUGCAUUUGGUUUAGUUUUGAAGACAAGUGCAGAUUUGUUUCUCAUGCUCUUCCACUUUACAUGUUUUUGAAACCCACGGCCAUGGACAUCUAUUUUUGCAGCAAGCCUCACCUUAAAUGGAAGGAAGGGACCUUAUGGAAGAUCACGGUUGGAGAGAAAGAUAUCCAGCAGCGAGGAAGGGAGCUCA